UACGUAGGGGGCAAGCGUUGUCCGGAUUCAUUGGGCGUAAAGAGCGUGUAGGCGGCUCGAUAAGUCUGCUGUGAAAGUCCAGGGCUCAACCCUGGAAGGCCGGUGGAAACUGUCGGGCUAGAGUCCGGAAGAGGCGAGUGGAAUUCCCGGUGUAGCGGUGAAAUGCGCAGAUAUCGGGAGGAACACCAAUGGCGAAGGCAGCUCGCUGGGACGGUACUGACGCUGAGACGCGAAAGCGUGGGGAGCAAACAGG
rnacentral:rRNA from 1 species